UCUAAGCCAGACUGUGCACUUUGGGGCCAGACUAGGCUCCGUAAUAUGGAAGAAAGUUGGUUGUAUUUGCACUCAAGAUAGAGAAGCUACUGUGAACUUGUUUGAAAGAAGACAUAUGGAAAUCACAGGGAUACAAUCUGUGCUGAAGUAAGUGGCAAGUAGAGAGAUACUGUGCCCAGUGACAAGCUCAGCAGUACUUAAUACAGCCUCUGCCUUUACCAGUUUCCCCAGAAAAUGGACAUCAAUUCUAGGCCCAUUGGAGGAAAUAUUCGAAAAAAGAAGCUAUCCUUCCUCUGGGGUUGCUCAUAACAUCAGAUAUUCAUGCGAAGCAGCAAGCAGCCAUUCUGUCACCAGGAAGAAAGAGCUUCUUGAAAUUGAGUCAACGAAGAGGAGAGCCAAGUGAUAGAAAAGGAAAGACUGACACCAUAUGACAUCGAUAGAAGCCUGGAAUCCAACUAUACCUGCAGCCAAAUUUGUACUAUUCAUGUACAUGAGCCAAUAUAAUUCCUUGCUUGGCUUAAAUAACUUGAUUUAUCAUUUGCAAAUAAA